AUUGAACGCUGGCGGCAGGCCUAACACAUGCAAGUCGAGCGGGGUUUUCGGACCUAGCGGCGGACGGGUGAGUAAUGCGUAGGAAGCUGCCCGAUAGAGGGGGAUACCAGUUGGAAACGACUGUUAAUACCGCAUAAUGUCUACGGACCAAAGUGUGGGACCUUCGGGCCACAUGCUAUCGGAUGCGCCGACGUGGGAUUAGCUAGUUGGUGAGGUAAUGGCUCAACAAGGCGACGAUCUCUAGCGGGUUUGAGAGGAGGAUCAGCCACACUGGAAGUGAGACACGGUCCAGACUCCGACGGGAGGCAGCAGUGGGGAAUAUUGGACAAUGGGCGCAAGCCUGAUCCAGCCAUGCCGCGUGUGUGAAGAAGGCCUUCGGGUUGUAAAGCACUUUCAGCGAGGAGGAAGGGUGGUGUGUUAAUAGCACAUCAUUUUGACGUUACUCGCAGGAGAAGCACCGGCUAACUCUGUGCCAGCCGCCGCAGUAAAAC
rnacentral:rRNA from 1 species